UACAGAGGUCCCAAGCGUUGUUCGGAUUCACUGGGCGUAAAGGGUGCGUAGGCGGUCGGGUAAGUCUGAUGUGAAAUCUCACAGCUUAACUGUGAAACUGCAUUGGAUACUAUUCGGCUUGAGAGUUGGAGGGGGGACUGGAAUACUUGGUGUAGCAGUGAAAUGCGUAGAUAUCAAGUGGAACACCAGUGGCGAAGGCGAGUCUCUGGACAUUUCCUGACGCUGAGGCACGAAAGCCAGGGGAGCAAACGGG
rnacentral:rRNA from 1 species